GACGAACGCUGGCGGCGUGCUUAACACAUGCAAGUCGAACGAAGAGCGAUGGAAGCUUGCUUCUAUCAAUCUUAGUGGCGAACGGGUGAGUAACGCGUAAUCAACCUGCCCUUCAGAGGGGGACAACAGUUGGAAACGACUGCUAAUACCGCAUACGAUCUGACCUCGGCAUCGAGGAUAGAUGAAAGGUGGCCUCUAUUUAUAAGCUAUCACUGAAGGAGGGGAUUGCGUCUGAUUAGCUAGUUGGAGGGGUAACGGCCCACCAAGGCGAUGAUCAGUAGCCGGUCUGAGAGGAUGAACGGGCACAUUGGGACUGAGACACGGCCCAGACUCCUACGGGAGGCAGCAGUGGGGAAUCUUCCGCAAUGGACGAAAGUCUGACGGAGCAACGCCGCGUGAGUGAUGACGGCCUUCGGGUUGUAAAGCUCUGUUAAUCGGGACGAAAGGCCUUCUUGCGAAUAGUUAGAAGG
rnacentral:rRNA from 1 species